AUCCUCCCGCCUUGGCCUCCCAAAGUGCUGGGAUUACAGGCGUGAGCCACAGCACCUGGCCAUCUUACCCAUUUUUAUAUCCUGCUGCCCACCCCCUCCAGCAACUAGGCCUGCACCUAGAAAGAUAUUAUCAAAUGUCCCUGCCACAUCCCUGCCAGUAUCCCUGUCUGUCCCCAGCCAGCCCACACAACGGAUGCACAGAAAGGACCUGUCUUCUUUGACAAAGGAGGCUGAUGAUCUAAUACUCUCUUCUGACUUCCUAGCUUGAAUGCUGUUCCAUCUCUUCCUCCCACAGACCAGGACUCAAAGGGCAGCGCAUUUUCUCUGGAAAGACCCAUGUCAUAAUGCACCUUUGUAUGAAGCAGCAACCUUUGCACUGUCUCCAGUUAGUACUUUCAGAGGAAUUAGCUUAUCAGAGUAACUAGUUGGCACCUUAACAGGCAUGCAGAAUCUGACUCAGGAACAGAGACUCAAGAGAACUAAGGUGCAGUAGGAAGCAGGUGGCAGAGUGAAGAUAAGCAGGAACAUUUCCUACCUAUAGUUGAGCAGUUUCAUGCUACAUCAUGGUGGAUCCCUCCCAAGUCACCACUGCCUAACAUUCCACAGAAUAUAGUUGAAAGAAUUGAAGAUGCAGAGUACUGAGCCCUCCACCUGCAAAUGCAUACAGCCAUGAACAGAUGGGUGUAAACUGAGGCAGUGGAGGGAGAGGGGUACUCCCAAGCCCUGAAAAUCUCAGAGUAAGAGGCCACCGACGACAGCGCUCACCGGUGCUGAGCUCCCUUCUACAGAAACCUGCAAAGACUCAGAUCGAGGAGGAAAUACACCAGGAAAAUGUCACAGGAUCAUCUCGAGCAGUCCCUUCCAGCGCCAAGCCAUUCAUUCAAGAAUGACUCAGGGCCGGGCGUGGUGGCUCACACCUGUAAUCCCAGCACUUUGGGAGGCCGAGGCAGGCGGAUCACGAGGUCAAGA
rnacentral:lncRNA from 1 species